AACGAACGCUGGCGGCAUGCCUAACACAUGCAAGUCGAACGAGACCUUCGGGUCUAGUGGCGCAAGGGUGCGUAACGCGUGGGAACCUGCCCUUAGGUUCGGAAUAACUCCCCGAAAGGGGUGCUAAUACCGGAUAAUGUCUUCGGACCAAAGAUUUAUCGCCUUUGGAUGGGCCCGCGUUGGAUUAGCUCGUUGGUAUGGUAAAAGCCUACCAAGGCGACGAUCCAUAGCUGGUCUGAGAGGAUGAUCAGCAACACUGGGACUGAGACACGGCCCAGACUCCUACGGGAGGCAGAAGUGGGGAAUAUUGGACAAUGGGCGAAAGCCUGAUCCAGCAAUGCCGCGUGAGUGAUGAAGGCCUUAGGGUUGUAAAGCUCUUUUACCCGGGAGGAUAAUGACAGUACCGGGAGAAUAAGCUCCGGCUAACUCCGUG
rnacentral:rRNA from 1 species